rnacentral:rRNA from 1 species
AUUGAACGCUGGCGGCAUGCCUUACACAUGCAAGUCGAACGGCAGCACGGGGGCAACCCUGGUGGCGAGUGGCGAACGGGUGAGUAAUACAUCGGAACGUGCCCCGUAGCGGGGGACGAACCAGUCGAAAGACUGGCUAAUACCGCAUACGCUCCACGGAGGAAAGCAGGGGAUCGCAAGACCUUGCACUAUGGGAGCGGCCGAUG